UGUGCCUCUGUCAACUCUUGUUUUUGGAA
rnacentral:piRNA from 1 species